UAGAAGAAAUUUUUUUAAAGUUUUUACUACAAGUCAUGUUUAAGUUUUUUUUCCUAUAUACAUAUAAGGAAAACCAAUGACCCCCGGGGCGGGGCCGAUUCUGAUCCCAGGGCUAUAAUUUGAAUAAUCUUGGUAGAGGUCUACCAGACAAUGCCUUAUGCAAAAUAUCUAAGCUCUAGGCCUUUUGGGUCUUUACAAGAAGGUAUUUUAAGUUUUUACUAUAUGUACAUAUAGUGAAAAUCAAUGACCCCCGGGGCGGGGCCGAUUUUGACCCCAGGGCUAUAAUUUGAACAAUCAUGGUAAUGGUCUACCAGACAAUGCCUUAUGCAAAAUAUCUAAGCUCUAGGCCUUUUGGGUCUUUACAAAAAGAUUUUUUAAAUUUAUUCUUAUAAUUCCUUUUGGUUGCCAUGGCAACCAGAUUUCUGCAUGGAAUGAAAUUCUUUCAACAACUUUGGAAGCCCUUCACCCAAGGAUCAAUCCUGCCAAGUUUGGUUGAAAUUGGACUAGUGGUUUUUCACAAGAAGAUUUUUUAAGUUCACUAUAUAAUCUAUAUAACACACACACACACAAACAAACACACACACAGGUGAAUCGCUAUAUGCCA